UCACUUUUAAAAAGCAAAUGCGUUUCCAGGGCUAUUUUCGGCCGGGUGAGGCGUGUCCUGAAGCUGAAUCAGACAGGAAGACGGGGAAGUUUGGGUCUUUAAUUUUUUUUUUUUCCUUCCAAAGGAGAGGUGCGAGGUGGGUGAGCCAAAUGCAGGCUGGCUUCUGAACACUCUCGGCUCAUGUACCGCCACAAGGAUCCUACCCAGGUCCACGCAGAAACCCACCCGAGGGUCGCUGGAGUGCGCAGGACUGGUGACAGUGCUCAUCAGUUCUACAUGAAGCAGCCAUCGAGUGAUGGAGCUUUGAUUAACUGACCACCCAUUUGUCUGUGGAGUAACCCAAGCACAGCUCUACUCCUUGGGGGAGUCAGGGAGGAGGCGAUGACCCCCAUUCCUGGACCAGAAUGUCGAGGUAGCAGGAUUCGAACCAAGGACUCCCCAGCUUGUGGCCGACCGCAGGAUCACCUGGCUGGCUGGCAUCCGCCAGGUUUAUCACGGAUCCUACCCAGUAAAGGAUCUCUCCACCGUCAGGGGUUAAGAAGUGGGAGGAGGUGACCUCUUAUUCUUUCUGCACGCCCUCCCAGCAGAGCAACUCUUCUGAACACUCAAGUCCACAUGCAA